CCAGUCGUGGGGAAACGGCAUUAUGUGCUUGCACUUUCUGGACGUCGACCGGCGCACGGGUGAGUAUCGCGUAUCCAACCUGCCCCUUACUUGGGGAUACCCCGUUGAAAGACGGCCUAAUACCCGAUGUGUUUCAUUGACGGCAUCCGAUAUGAAACAAAGGUUUUUCCGGUAAGGGAUGGGGAUGCGUCUGAUUAGCUUGUUGGGGGGGCAACGACCC
rnacentral:rRNA from 1 species